AAGUCGUAACAAGGUUUCCGUAGGUGAACCUGCGGAAGGAUCAUUAACACGUAUCCAACGUUAAAACCCCUGUGAACUUUCAGCCUGCUCUUGUGGCCCGUGUGAAGCAGCAAUUCCGGUAAAUCAAGUGGGACCUCUGCUCCAUAUGCGCACGCUGCAAUUGAGCGGUAGAAGCAGUGGCAUGGCGUCCCCAAGCCUCCAGUGAAUGAAAGUGUCACUGGAAAGUGUAAGGAUAACGCUUCUCGGUUGCUAGAGGUCGAUCACCGACCGGCAGACAUGCCACAGGGUCACCGCGCCCCUAAUCACUCCCUCUGAACCGUACGCCGGCGCCGUUGAAAAGCUGCGCUAAAAAAAACCGAACAACUGUUAACAAUGGAUAUCUUGGUUCUC
rnacentral:misc_RNA from 1 species